rnacentral:rRNA from 1 species
AACGAACGCUGGCGGCGUGCUUAACACAUGCAAGUCGAACGGGAUUCAGAGCUUGCUCUGAUGAGAGUGGCGCACGGGUGAGUAACGCGUGGAUAACCUGCCCUGGUAUCUGGAAUAACAUCUCGAAAGGGGUGCUAAUACCGGAUAAGCUUACGAUUCCCUCGGGAGUUGUGAGAAAAGGUGGCCUCUAUUUAUAAGCUACCGUAUCAGGAUGGGUCCGCGUACCAUUAGCUAGUUGGUGGGGUAAUGGCCUACCAAGGCGACGAUGGUUAGCUGGUCUGAGAUGAUGAUCAGCCACACUGAAAGUUAGACACAGUCCAGGCUCCUACGGGAGGCAUCAGUGGGGAAUUUUGCGGAAUGGGGGAACCCCUGACGCAGCAACGCCGCGUGAGUGAUGAAGGCGUUCGGGUCGUAAAGCUCUGUCAGUAGGGAAGAAGUGUAAUGGUGCUGAUACCACGUGUACUUGACGGUACCUACAAAGGAAGCACCGGCUAACUCCGUGCCAGCCGCCGCCGUAACAC